rnacentral:rRNA from 1 species
GGCGUGACCGCUUAGAAUAAAACGGACGGAGCCGUCUGAGGCCCGUCGCUAAAAGUCGAUUCGACGCGUGAAAGCGAGUCCGAUGCGAAUAAGGAACGAAAGUCCCGUCGGCUCGUAGAAUCGAGUAGCGCUCGUUCGAUGCAUUUCCGGUGGGUAAGCGCCGUGACCGAUGCGAAUAUCCGGCUAGCGAAGCCGUCGGAUUGAGGUCGAGUUCGUUCGCGAGUCUCGUAACCAGUCCGUCGGUCUGAAUAGAUAUCGUUAGACCGUAGCAUCGAGAGAUAGAUGAUUCGAACGUCGGCGAAUCUUACGCGCUCGCCUAAUACGAUGGAUGUACCGUUCGGUCGGUGGUCACCUGCUCGCAGGUUUCUGUCGCAUCCGGCGCGUAUCGGAAAUCGUUGGUGACGUAUUACGACGUUCGGGUGUCCACGGUGUCCGAGUCGGUCGCCCGUCCGACCCGUCUUGAAACACGGACCAAGGAGUCUAACGUAAGCGCGAGCUAAUGGGCGGAAAACCCAUAAGCGCAAUAAAAGUAAAAGUCGUUUCGGACGGCUUAGGUACGAUCCCGCAGGGCGAAUAAUCCUCGGGCGCAGUACCGUCCCGUCCCGACCGCUCGUCGGUAGGGCGGAGAUAGAGUGCAUACGUUGGGACCCGAAAGAUGGUGAACUAUGCCUGAGCAGAGC